rnacentral:pre_miRNA from 1 species
CAAGUACUCCCUCCGUCCGAAAAUACUUGUCAUCAAAAUGGACAAAAAGGGAUGUAUCUAGAACUAAAAUACAUCUAGAUACAUCCCCUUUUAUUCAUUUUGAUGACAAGUAUUUCCGGACGGAGGGAGUAUCCU